GAUGAAGAACGUAGCGAAAUGCGAUAAGUAAUGUGAAUUGCAGAAUUCAGUGAAUCAUCGAAUCUUUGAACGCACAUUGCGCCCGCCAGUAUUCUGGCGGGCAUGCCUGUCCGAGCGUCAUUUCAACCAUCAAGCCCCGGGCUUGUGUUGGGGACCUGCGUCCGACGCAGGCCCUGAAAACCAGUGGCGGGCUCGCUGUCCACACCGAGCGUAGUAACUAACCUCGCUAUGGAGUGGCGCGGGCGCCUGCCGUAAAACCCCCAAUUUCACAAGGUUGACCUCGGAUCAGGUAGGGAUACCCGCUGAACUUAAGCAUAUCAAUAAGCGGAGGA
rnacentral:misc_RNA from 1 species